GACAGAGGGGGCAAGCGUUGCUCGGAGUUACUGGGCGUAAAGGGCAUGCAGGCGGUCGUACGCGUUUCGGGUGACAGCGGGUGGCUUAACUACCCGAGUGUUCGAAAGACGGUACGACUUGAGGGCUCGAGAGGGACACGGAAUUCCGGGUGGAGUGGUGAAAUGCGUAGAGAUCCGGAGGAACACCGAAGGCGAAGGCAGUGUCCUGGCGAGUGACUGACGCUGAGGUGCGAAAGCUAGGGGAGCGAACGGG
rnacentral:rRNA from 1 species